GAUGAAGAACGUAGCAAAAUGAGAUACUUGGUGUGAAUUGCAGAAUCCCGUGAACCAUCGAGUCUUUGAACGCAAGUUGCGCCCGAAGCCAUUAGGCCGAGGGCACGCCUGCCUGGGCGUCACACGUCGUUGCCCCCCCAUCUACUCCUUCGGGAUUGCGGGGGGCGGAUGAUGGCCUCCCGUGCGCCUCGCCGCGCGGUUGGCAUAAAUGCCAAGUCCUCGGCGACGCACGCCACGACAAUCGGUGGUUGCGAAACCUCGGUUGCCCGUCGUGUGCGGUCGUCGCGCAUCGAGGGCUCGAAAAAAUUGCCGGGUUCCGGCUCGGCUUUCAACGCGACCCCAGGUCAGGCGGGGUUACCCGCUGAAUUUAAGCAUAUCAAUAAGCGGAGGA
rnacentral:misc_RNA from 1 species